GUUGGGUUGCCACCAGUUGCUUCAUCCCUGAGAAACACCAGGCAGGCACCUGGUAAGUCUUUUAUCCCAACCCCAGCCAAAAUAAAUUGUUUUCAAGAGAAACAGACUUGAAAGGAAAUUUUGCAGUUUAUUAAUUAUUUUUCCCUUUUUUUCCCCUUCUUUUUUUGCUCCUGGAUGUCACUUUUUAGAGGGAUAAAUCGCUUUGCACUCAACCAUGUACUGCUGGUGCUAAUUGGGUUGUGGAUUUUGUGUUUGCACCUGCAGACCAAGAACUCUGGCCUCUAAAUCAACCUCUGUUUGAAGUGUAAAUAUUCCUGGCCUCCAAAUUCUGAUACAGCAUUGAGAGCUGAAUGUACGAGUGUGGCUCGAAAUGAUUUUUCCAUUAUGGAAUUAUUUAAGGAAAUUCGAUAAAAUGUGAAUGAGCCAGGCUCGUGCUAAAUGAAAUAUGUAAGCAAGAUGCUAUCAGAGUGUAAGCCUAUGUCACAGUUAUUAAGGAUUAAUCACUGCUAAUUAACUAGAAUGCUUUUUUUCUCUGUCUCAGCACUCUCAGAGGCAUCUCCCCCCACCAUUGAUGAGCUGCCUUCAUCAGCCCAAGAGCUGCUGGAUGAAAUUGCUCCUGAUCAAGUUAAAAUGGAAAACAGAGAGUCAGAAAAAGAAUCUGAGAGAAAUGAGAAGACAAAUCAGAGUUUAUGGACUAAGGAGUCAUUUAAUCUAGCAGAGGAUACAGAAAGGUAUGAAAAAGGAUGGGAAGGCAUGUUUGGCUUUGAGUUACAAAGAUGUAAAAUUUUCUUUUCAGCAUAUUCAAAGCUUCAAAGCUUACAGAAAGCUUUAAAUGCCCUGAUAAUUGUGAUUGUUUUAUUUGGAAAUUUGCAGCAUGAACUUUGUCACCAUCACUUUUGAAUCUUUUAUUUAACAGAGCUCACUCCAGCCUCGAUGAUGUUUUGGAAAGAAUGUUCCAUGCAGUUCCUGGAGAUGGGGAGAUCCAAGAACAACCUCGGGGACUCACUCUUGGGUGAGCUGAUAAUUUAUAUUUGUGUUCAAGGGUUUAUUUUGUGUGGUGUGUACAGAUCUGGGCAGCACUUCUCAGAAAAUGGGCUGUGACUCCUUAGGGAGUAGUGUCAGGGAACUUGCCUGGAGACAUCAGUAUGAACUCACCUACUAAACUGAGAGGGAAAAUAAUGUUUUGUUAAUACAGUUUCCUGUGGGUAGAAAGCAAAUACUUCAACAGGCUUGGAAGGCAGGGCUUGGUCUUCACAGAAACCAGAGAUAAUUUGACAGAAUGGGAGAAUUUUCUGAGGUAGAAAAAAUGUGCAUUAAGAGAACAGAAUCAUGAAAGCUCUUUAUAAAGAAGAGUUUGUGAAAAUGGUUCUGCUUUCAUGGCAGUAUAUUAGGAAAUUUGAAGAACAUGGCAGAAGUCAUUUAAACAUCAUUUUAAGGUAAAAAUUUGUAUCCCAAAUAACCUUUUUUCCUCUUAGAACUAAAGAUCAGAGCCCAGGAACUCUGAACAGCUCCACAGUGAGUGGCCAUAAGUCAUCCCUAACUUCUGUCUCACUAAGGAACAUAAGACAUUCUUGUGUUUGGCAUCAGAAUUUUCUGUUUCAUCCUGUUAAAAAAACAAAAAUGAGGAUGAUACACAAAACUCUGUCAUUCAAGGGCUGCAAGCCUGCAGGAUCCAGAAGAUGCUGAAAGGAAGAAUGGAGUAGAGGAGAGCAGAGCCUGGGCUGGAGGCAGAGCACCAGGAAGCUGUGCAGGGACUUCAGCAGGUGCUCUUGGUCUGUAGAGCUGCUGGAUGCACCCAAAGUUUGAAAUGUCCCAAAUCUCUGGUGACUUUUGGAAAUAUUGAUGGUAGUUUUUAAAGGUAGAAGUCUGGGAGGUGACAUCAGUGUGCUUGUUAUUGCACAGCAUUUGCAGCUGUGCCCCUGUUUUCUGUCAGACCUCAGCACUGAGCUGGGAUUGGGCUUCAGGGAUGGAAAUCAGGAUUGGUUUCUGAUGAUGAUGAGGCUCCUGUGGGAUGCACCAGGAGCACCAGAGCUGGGGCUGAGUUCUGAUUCCAAAUGUGGCUGAAGGAAUCAAGCAGAAAAACCUGUAGCACUUGAUUCACUUGCUGUCUCUGGAGUGUUGUGUGGCUUUCACAUUCUGAGCUGAAUUUCCCUGUUUUUUAGACGAGCACCCCGAGGAUCAGAAACCCCACCCCCAGCAGCAGCUGGCUCCAGCUCCACCCUUCAGGUGAGGCUCUCUGUGAGUUAAACUGAAAUUUAUGUGUUGCAUGAGCUGCAUUCCUGUUUCCCAUGAAAAAGAGGCAGUAUGAAGUCCCAUUCCCUUCAACUGGUAGUUUUCUAUCAGAAAAAAACAACUGCAUAACCUUUUUUUCCCUCCUUUUUUUUUUUGUCCCCUGCAGGAUAAUUGUUUUGGAUGAGAGCUCUCUCCAUGAUUAAAACACAGAGUGAAUAAGUUCUACACAUCACCUGCUUGCUGCUGCUUGCACAGUGUUUAGUCUGUGAAUUACAGCCCUUUUUGGCUACACAAGUACCUGUAAAGCUCAGAUUUCCUUUAACAGCAGCAGGUACAGAAGAAAAUCUAAUGCUCUAUGCUCUGAUAUGGUUUGUACUGGUUUUAUGCCAUUGUUGCAUGCCCAGGCAGUGUCAGUGUUGCAGAAGUGAACUGUUUUUUACUGUCACAUCCUUAUGAAGCUGGUUUUUAUUCUGCAUGUGCACUUUUUCAGAAGCUAAAGAAUUUCUUGCUCUGUUGCAUUAUGCAGUUUUCACAUUAAAGACAAAAUGAUUGUAGUUCUGUGGGCUGCUGGUGCUGCUCAGGCACUGAAAUGUUUCCAUGCUGGAGUGUUACAGCCCAUGUAGUGUCUGUUUUUCCUUGCUCAUUAAAUUUAACAAGGUAAUUUCUUGUUUUCUCUUUACUUAGUGCUUUUGUGAUCUAGUGUUGAACUGAUUUGACUGAUUAAAGGGAUUAAUUGCUGUGCAAAAAGCUAAUGAGGAAAAGGCAGUGUUCUCCAGAGAUUGCAAGUGCAGCAAUAUGUUCCCUGCCAGCAUCAGACAAGAAUGUGAAAAAAAUGUGCUUGUUAUGAAGAUACCUGAUGUUUAAUUCAACCCCAUUUUUGGUAGGCCUCAUCCAAAAAAACAAACCCAAAAAUCCCUGGAUAUAAUUGAGUUUUGGAUUAGAAUUUUGAUGGGCACAGCAACUUCAUAUUUAACGUUUCUUGUGAUAAAUACUGUUCAGGUGCAGGAGUGAAAGUUGUCCUGUUCCCUAUGUGACAGACACAGGGAUUUGAGCUGGUUUUGUACAUCUGGGUGUGCCAAGUUUUGCAUCUUCAUUCCUGUUUUUGCAAGGAAAUUCUCCAGUUCUGUACCUGUUAAUUUGGUUUUGCAACACUAAUAAAAGUUUCCAAGGUUAUUGUGCUGCCAUGUGGGUUUUUUUCUGGUUUGGGAGGUUCUUUUUUGGGGUUGUUCUGUUGGGUUUUUUACUUGUUUUUAACGCUGCUUCCCAUCAUCAGACCACGAUACAACCAGAUGCUGACAGAGUAUCCAGUUGCAGUAUCCAGGGAGGAUGCUGCAGAGGUGGGGGAGCUUUCUGAGGAUAGAUCAGAGAAAAUAAAAAUCUUUCAUGUGUUUGUCCUGUUGUGGCAGUGAUGGUGCCUCAGGAUAGCAGCAAGGCCUAGAACAGGCCUCGCCCCGGGCUGUGACACAAUUCUGUCC
rnacentral:lncRNA from 1 species